rnacentral:rRNA from 1 species
UGAGCAAUCUGCCCUUCUCAUCGGAAUAAGCGUUGGAAACGACGUCUAAUGCCGAAUACGACCUCCUUUCGCAUGAUCGGAGGUGGAAAGCUACGGCGGAGAAGGAUGAGCUCGCGGCCUAUCAGCUAGUUGGUGUGGGUAAUGGCCCACCAAGGCGACGACGGGUAGCCGGCCUGAGAGGGUGACCGGCCACACUGGGACUGAGGCACGGCCCAGACUCCUGNGGGAGG